UACGUAGGGGGCAAGCGUUGUCCGGAUUUAUUGGGCGUAAAGAGCGUGUAGGCGGCUUUACAGGUCCGUUGUGAAAACUCGAGGCUCAACCUCGAGACGCCGGUGGAAACCGUAAAGCUAGAGUCCGGAAGAGGAGAGUGGAAUUCCUGGUGUAGCGGUGAAAUGCGCAGAUAUCUGGAGGAACACCGGUGGCGAAGGCGGCAUCCUGGACCAACACUGACACUGAGGAGCGAAAGCCAGGGGAGCAAACAGG
rnacentral:rRNA from 1 species